AUGCUAAAAAAAUUACCAGAGAUCAUGCUGCUACUCCAACAAGGGCACUGGCUGCUGAGCAGUCCUUCAAAGCCACACAGGAAUUUUACUGUGGGGAUAAAUUCUUAAAAGCUGUUAGCUGAAAACAAGCACCCUUCCCCUGCCCUCCAAAUCUGUGAGUCACUUAUCCAGUUUGGGCCUCUGAUCCUCAUGUAACAGGUGAUCAGCAGAGAGUUUCUUCUCAGGAUCAAGGUGGGUAAUUUGCAUUCCACUCCUCGCAAAUAUUUCCUAGGAAACCCAUUCCACUAAAAGUUCUAUCCUGGCUAGUGCAUUGUUUAAAAUAGUCCUUUGAAGCUCAUAGCACUUCCCCUUAAAGAAGUGAUACACAAUCCCACAGUAAUGCAUUAACAUUUGCCCUUUUAAUACAAUGAACUCCUAAAACACUUAAAUGUAAAUUAUUGUAAAUGUAAAUGUAAUUGGCCAGGAAAUUGCCAGACCUGUCACAGUGACCAUUUGGGAAAGUGUCUGUAUAAACCCAUGAAUUCUGGAUGAUAAUUGUUACUAUUAAAACUGCUGUAUCUUGAGUACCUAUACGUAUGUUUAGCCACUGUUGCUGACAGGACCUGUAGCAGGUGCACACACCAGACAAGGACAACGGGAAAUACUUACGGUUAAUGAUGACAUUUUAGUCACAAUAGUUAUGCUAAAAAUAGCUGCAUCCUUAGAAGACCUGUGUUAUCUUAUCCCUCUGGAAGCAGAGGAGAAGGCAGGAGCAGUGGAAAUUUACCGGGAGCAGAACAAAAGCAGCCAGGAAGGAAACACACAAGAACAGAGGGAGAGCUAGACAGGAAGAGGAAACUGUGGCCUGAGACAGCAUGUGACAGUUUCAUGAGACAUGAGGGCCCAGCUUACUUUCCUGAGCCUGGAUGACUGCGAGACUGACCCCAGCUCCUCCCAAGGAUGCCAUGAAGUUGUGAGGCAGCCAAGGCAAGGAAAUGAACUCUAAGAAAUCAACGUGCAACAUGUGACUUCCAGCAACUGUCAGCGCAGCCCUGUGGAAAGGAAACCAAGCAGCACAGCACCGUAAGGAAACUGACACAUGAAAGGAAACUGGACACAUUCUGUGGUAUGGGGAAACAAGUACUGGGAGCUGAAUGAUUGAAGCCUGGGUCAGUGCCCAAACCAGGAAAAGAAACCAGAGCUCCUGACUCCCUGAUCUGUGCUGGAAUAAAACUUAUCACUUAUUUGCAUAACAAUUGGAAGCUAACAUUAAUUAAUGAUUCUACCACCAGGCCACAGCCCUUUCUAACCACGCUAUUUUCUCUGGACUUUUUCUAUUAAAACUUAAUCCAGAUUUCCAAUCAACAGAGAUUUCCUACGGCUUGCCAACAUGCAUUGUAAUGUGGCCACUGAUGUUAGAUACAAGCUCACUGAACCUUCUGUGGAAUAAACCUCCAGAUCUCCCUGCCACCCACUUGAGGUUUAUUCCAGAGAAGGUUCAGUGGUGAACAGAGUGGAACAGUAUUUUUCCUGCUUAAAUUGUUGUAUAGUGUUGUUGUGGUGCACUGUCCAAUAGUUACCAUGUUUCACCCAGGAGGCAGCCAUUUGUGAUGGGUGAAGUGACCCUUUGCAUAUCAAUGUGUAUAGCACUUUGGGAUCCUUUAGGUUGAAAGCUAGUUGACAGAGUCACCAGGUGGUCGGCUGAGGUGGGUUGGAGUAGGGGCUGGCUAGUGUAGAAACAGGCACAGCUAGAGCAGAAGCAGGAGGUUGAAACUACUGGCAAUAGGAAUAGUAGUGACCCUGAUCACACUGCUUCCCUUAAGAGCCUAUGUACUUGCCUUGGCAUUACCUAGGUCAGUGGUUUUCAAUCUUUUUUCAUUUGCAGACUCCUAAAAUAUUUUGAAUGGAGGGUGGAAAUCUUAGACCCAGUCUGCAGACCUCAGGGGUCCAUGGAUCACAGGUUGAAAACCACUGUUCUAUGGUAACUAGAGCUGU